CCAACUUUUGAAAAUGGAAUGGUAGCUGCUUCCUUUAAGACAGGGUUGGUUGGUUCUGCAUCUGGAGUGAAUCCAGUUUCCCUGUUGGUAGUGGGGAAAAUGAGGUCACACCCCCUACCCCUCCCUUCUUCUCCAAGUCUCCCCGCUCUUGAACCUGGAUCUCCAGCCCCCCAAAAGGUUCUCCCAUCCUGACUGCACUUUGAAGGUUGCAGAAGAGAUUGCAAGAUGAAAGCUUUGCUAUUUGCCUUGUUGUUGGUGGCAUUCAUGUGCAAGGACCCAGUUGCGGGUCUGCAGUGUCUUCGAUGUUAUGGUGCUUGCAAAGAGGAAAUAUGUUUGGAAGACCAACCCGUCUGUUAUACUCUGGACAACGGAGUGGGACAGGCUGUUCGCAGAGGAUGUGCCCCCACAUGCUCUCAAGGGGACAAUGGGCUGGAGGCUAAAUGUUGCACAACUAACUUUUGCAAUGAAUAAAAUUAUUCUUCUGAUUUUAAAAUGAGCUUUGUUGAGUUUUGCUGUCAUCCAUCAUGGACCAUCCUUUGCAGAUUUAGGUUUGUGGCCUUUACGGUCCAUAAUUCAACCCCUCAGCUUCUCUGGACACUUCGCCCUCUCUCCCUUUUCUCCUGGCCUACAUGCUUUGUUCU